CUACUACAGUCUGCCAGAUUCAGAGACUGUAAGAGGUACAAACCCACCGCUGGGACUGUGAGCUUCACACCUGGACUCGUGCCAUGCUGUGUUGGGUGGCACCCAUGUGCCCUCGUCUGCUGACUCCUACACUUCCAUUGUACUCAGUGGAAAGCAUGAAUAACGAAGAGCUCCGGUCUUAAAGAGACUCUGUUUUGGCACCAUCUCAACGGCUGCUAUGACAACUCUGCGGCCUAUAGCAGCGGUCGUCAGACAGCGAGCGGCGUUAGA
rnacentral:lncRNA from 1 species